UUAAAUUAUCACCAUCACCAGUGCAAGUUGAGUAAAUGUAUACACCCCAUCUAAGUACAGCUAAAAAACAACCAAGUGCUAUGAGAUGAAUUUAAAAUGGCAUUUGUAAUAAAUGCAUUAGAGGCUUCUUCGUUAGCCGCGCUCGUUUAAUGGAUCACCGUGUGUCUCCCUUUAAAGGCGUAACAUCAACUACCGUAAAACCCACAGUAUGUGCGCAAGCGCACUGGACUACCGUAUAUGACAGCAUUAACAAGUACAACACACACAAAUAUAUUUGUAAACAAUAACCGAUAUGGGACAAAGCACGACAUAUAUACAAGACAACAUAUUGAGACAUGAAUGGUCCAAAAGAGGCGAGUAAAUGAAAACGUGUCUUAGUCUUGCUAACUGCUUUACCGCGGUCAUUAGCGAGCUAACGCUAGCUUGAUCAUCUGGAUGACGAACGUGAGGCUCCUUACGUUCCUCACGUCAAAGCGGGACAACGUGGAGCUCCCGGGCCAGGUUACGUCGACUUUGCAUAUUUAGCCAUUGACACACGUUCAGUGCUGUCACGUGUCACACAUCGAGCGUGACAGUCACCCAUUUCGGUCUUUAGUGACGCACUCCGCCACACAUCCAAUUUCUCGCACACAAAAAAAGAAAAAUCGGACUUUGGUUCCUCUUCACCGCCCCCCAAUGCUCGCCCACCUUGGACGACUCCUCUACGUCGGCUCGGCGCUUUUAUUUUUUAUUUUUAGCUCCGCGACUCAUUGAGUGACGUAAUAAUUGCGCGACACAACAAAUCGAUAAUGAAAUUCGUUGACAACGCUUUUAAUAAUCGAAUUUUAUCGAUUUCUUCGAUUUAUUGUUGCAGCCCUAAAUCUAUUAACUUUUAAAAUGCGUUAACAGCAUUUUGUUUUUUGCAUUGCGAGGGGCUUAACGCUGCUGCACAUGUUAACCGAGAAUUGUCUCAUCACCGGAGUACUACGAGCCUGAUGUACCGUCCUUAGAGCGGCCUUCCUCAAGACGCCACGCCGGUAGGAGAAUAGUGGCUUUGAACGGAGCGGACGACAGGAGCGAAGGCGUUAAAACUGUUGCUCUCACUGGAGACUACUGGACAUUGGUGGGUACCCACAGUUAUCUUGAAGUUACAGUUCAUUAUUUUGAUGAACUGUCGGUGCUGCAUUCAGCUUUGAGUGUCUUGAAAACGGGACAUUUUGCCUAAACGUGUGCAGAACAUACUAUUCAUAUUGUACAGCAGUGGACCGUUUCCAAUAAAGUCUGCACACUUUACACACAGUACGAGAAAUAUGAUAUGAAAUAUGAUGACAUCUGCCGUUUGAACACAUCCCCUGCGUCACUCACACUCUUCAGCGCUCCGUCACAGUAUCUCUGCAGAACAGUGCAUUUGACAAUGUCCUGACCCAAUGCAGAAAAGUUGUGGGCCACUUCAAACACACUCCAGCAAGCGCUGCAGAAUUAGAACAGCAACAAAUUGAAUGUAGAUAAAAACUGAGUUGCUUGCACUAGACAUUCCAACCACAUGGAUUUCAACUCAGGACAUGAUGAAAAACAUGCAGAAAUGAACAGCCACUGAGGGAUGUCCUUGCACACACAACACCAAAAUCGCCACGGCAACUACAGUUGACAAAAUGCAGGGUUGGAGCCCUGCAGGUAUAUUUUUAAUGUAAUACAUUUUGACUGAAAUGGGUUUGAUUUUUUUGUGUUGCAGGUGUGUGACUGAACUCCUGUGAGGAGAAAAGAAUCAUGCUCUGUGGUUGUGUCUGCUUUUUGUCUCUCCCGGUGACAAAGAGCUUGGAUGAUGAACCUGCCUGCGUAGUCAACGUAAAGUCUACACUAUAAAAACACACCCUUAUGCACUCUAUUUCAGUUUGAUCAAAUUAACGUAUUUUCCUGCAAUAAAUCCUGCCAAAUAUAAAAACCUGACUGUUCCUGUCAGGCUAGGUGUAUAUCUAUGAACACGUCUCCUUAAAACAACUCAGCGAUGACAGCAAAGUAAGUGUUUUCAGUCUAGUGUCACAGCGUCUUCAGCUGGAAGCCAAACGCAGACUAUGCCAGGUAGAUUGUACCUUGUAGCACUUAAAUUGUACUUGUAACGUCACUCAUCUAUAGCAAAUUGUAAAUUGGCUUAUUUGAAGAAAUUAUACUUUCUUGUUUCUUGUUCUCCUGAGUUUGUACCUUAUGGUUGAAAUGCACUUAUUGUACGUCGCUUUGGAUAAAAGCGUCAGCUAAAUGACAUGUAAUGUAAUGUAGCUGGUGACAAGGUGAGUACUUAUUGGACAAGGGGGAGUGGUAUUUCCAACGUACAGACAGGUGAAUUCCGGUUGCCAGGCGGGCGUGACGGGAAUCCAGGCUAAAUGAUCAGAUAGACACAAAACCACUACGAAGAGUGAACAGAGAGUGAUUCGCUGUUGAGUCUGACACAUACGAGCACACAUACGAAUAUGGCCACCGAUCCGGCAGCGACUGGAUGUCAGGCCUCAGGAUCAGGACCGGAUGUGUUGAUCAGGUGGCAGCAGGCGCUGGUGAUCCUGGUUCUCCCGCGAAGACAAACAGGAAAACAGACUCGGGGAGCUGAGGUCGCGACCUCUGGCAUUUCAAAUGUACAGAAAGAUUAAGAACAAAAAAGCAUGUCAAAUUUAUGUUUCCUUCUUUUUUAUGGACCGUUUGUUAGGCAAAACGCACCCGUACUCAGCUUGUGUACGUAUUUAUAUAUAUAUAUAUAUAUAUAUAUAU
ensembl:lncRNA